GGGCUUGACAUCCCACGAACCUGCAGAGAUGCGGGAGUGCCCGAAAGGGAAUCGGAACACAGAUGCUGCAUGGCUAUCAUCAGCUCGUGUCGUGAGAUGUUGGGUUAAGUCCCGCAACGAGCGCAACCCUUAUCAUUAGUUGCUACGCAAGGGCACUCUGCGGAGACUGCCGGUGACAAACCGGAGGAAGGUGGGGAUGACGUCAAGUCCACAUGGCCUUUAUGUCCAGGGCCACACACGUGCUACAAUGGGCGGUACAAACCGUUGCGAUCCCGCGAGGGGGAGCUAAUCGGAGAAAGCCGCUCUCAGUUCGGAUUGCAGGCUGCAACUCGCCUGCAUGAAGUUGGAAUCGCUAGUAAUCGCGGAUCAGCACGCCGCGGUGAAUACGUUCCCGGGCCUUGUACACACCGCCCGUCACACCACGAAAGCCAGCUGUACUCGAAGUCGCUGAG
rnacentral:rRNA from 1 species